UAAAGAUUGACAAUAUACCUUUUGUAUCAGGGUUUUACGAGUUUAUAUAAGUUACAAGUUUAAUAUAAAAAUAAGAAAGCAUAGUGAAAACAAGUAUAAAGCAAUAGUAAAAUAUAAAAGACCCGAAAACUAACGAUCUUUCCAAAGGCAACAAGAGUAAUUUGAAAAUUGAAGAUUAUGAUGUGUGAACGGGUUGAUGUUGCAAUAUCAUCCGAUGACUUUUGGAAAGUGGCGUAAUACUAAUCAAGUUAGUAAAUAGCUGGUUUUCUACGAAAACUGUUUAAGCAGUUCAUUGUAUAAAAGUGUUUUAAAGGUAAAGUAACAAUUUUAAUUAUGGGUCACAUAAGCAUUAUGUAAUUAAGAUUACCUCUGAAUUAAAAAAUACAAUACAAUAGACGGACUAUUUGCGACAAGGUGAAUAAGUCAAAAGGGAAACAGCCCAGAAUUUAUGUUAAGGUAAUUAAUAGAAGCUAAUUAUGAAAAU
rnacentral:rRNA from 1 species